CGCUUUAGUCCGCUCAGCCAUCUCUCC
rnacentral:tRNA from 1 species